rnacentral:lncRNA from 1 species
GAAGUCAAGGAGUCAGAUACCCAUACCUCAAGUGAGAGGUCUAAUUCUCAAGAUCAAUCUAGUGGCAGUACUGAAUCUGAAGGUGAAGAAGAUGUUACCUCCUCAGACUAAGUUGUUAUGAAGACUGGUCCCCUGUUGGUUUGGCUGUUUUGGAUGCUGGAUAAUUUGAUGUUUUUUUCUGGUUAAUGUUUGUAAUUUUUGGCAGUCCUUACUGAUGCCUUGAUGUAAUAUUUGGG